rnacentral:rRNA from 1 species
UACGUAGGGUCCGAGCGUUGUCCGGAAUUUAUUGGGCGUAAAGGGCUCGUAGGCGGUUUGUCGCGUCGGGAGUGAAACACGGGGCUUAACCCGUGCCUGCUUCCGAUACGGGCAGACUAGAGGUAUGCAGGGGAGAACGGAAUUCCUGGUGUAGCGGUGGAAUGCGCAGAUAUCAGGAGGAACACCGGUGGCGAAGGCGGGAUCCUGGCCAGUACUGACGCUGAGGAGCGAAAGCGU